rnacentral:rRNA from 1 species
GUCUAUGGCCAUACCACCCUGAAUGCGCCCGAUCUCGUCUGAUCUCAGAAGCUAAGCAGGGUCGGGCCUGGUUAGUACUUGGAUGCGAGACCGCCUGGGAAUACCAGGAACUGUAGGCU